UAUUGAUUUGAAUAUGAUGACCUCUAUAUUGUCAGUUUCUGAAUUUUUGCAACACAGGUCAUGCAUUUUGCCUGUAGUCAAGGAUGGUGAAGGUCCAAUCAUGUGCAUAUCAUUGGUUUCCUCUUGUUAUGAUGAAGAGAUCUGGAUUCAAUACUUGAUUUUUCAUUUGUUUUUAAAUAUUUGGUUUCCAAUCAUGUGCAGAUCUGAAUUUGGGCAUUGGUUGCUUUGACUGUUUCUUGGAAUGCAGAUAAACUACGCCUAUGCUCGUGACAAUGAAACACUAUUUGAUAUUAUUAGUGUGAAGGUAUGGAGCUUAUCAGGAUAUCCAGGAAAUUUUCUGCAAUUUAUGUAUUUUGGUAUCAAUUAUCAAUCUGCCAAUCAAUCAUUUUCUUUUGAUUUCUUCGAUAAACAUUUAUUGGCAAGACAGAUGAACCUCUCAAUUGACAAGCGAUGUAGGAUAAAUAAUUUGUCCACAAGCAUGAUUGCAUUAUCCCAGGUGCUUAUGAAAGUUUUUACCUUUUCUUCAAUAUGAAGUCUGAAUGUGUGGUGUGGCCUGUCUGAUCUAUCUAGCAGGUUUAGUGGUACUCGUAUCAGCUAAACCUUAAACUUGUUUUCUUCUUAAUGUAAUAUAAUUAUACAUGGUUCUACUACUUGUUUGAAAAAAAACUUAAACUUAUUUCUACAUAUGGAAUCACUAAAUGGUCGUGUUUUCUAAUACCAAUUGCAGAUCCCUUCGUUUUGAUAAGUAAACAUGAGACCCCUUUUGCUAGGAUGUUUGUAUAUCUUCUGUUUUAAACUAUAUUAUGUAAACAGUGCAAGCGAUGAGUGAAGGGUGACUAAUAGGCUUCUUUAAUCAGCACUGCAGUAUCUUUUGUUGAAUUAACCUAUACUCACUUCAUUUUAUUUAUAUAAUACAGUCCAUUUAGCAAAUUUUGUUUGAUGUGUAGUGACACGACCUUGACAGUCAAGAUGCUCUUUCAGGAGAUGGUCCCAGUUACCUUACAUGGUUCUGUUGGACACAAUGAAGCCAUCCAGAUAUGCUAUUAAAAAUCCUGCUAGUCAUUAUGGCUUUAAACUGUACCAUGUCUGUUCUAUUUUCAGCUAGGCAGAGCAUGUUCUAUUUACAGCAGGCCAGCAGACACCAGGCAGUAAGGUGAUGUAUGAGUCAAUUAUCAGGAUGGAAAUGUUUUUUGGCAGCUUUCUCAGUGAAUCAGUAUCACCGCAGAACCUUUUUGGACACCCAAAUGUCGAGAGAUGCCCAUUCCUGAAUCAGUAUCACCGCAUUGAUGUCAGGACUGAACCUGCUCUACCGUUUAAUCCAUUGGCUGCUAGAGCAGCCACAAUAAGUCUAUCAGCAUUUGGACCAUUUGGUUUUGGCUUCUUCAAUGGCAAGGG